UACGUAGGGGGCGAGCGUUGUCCGGAAUCAUUGGGCGUAAAGAGCUCGUAGGCGGUUCAGUAAGUCGGCUGUGAAAUUCCGAGGCUCAACCUCGGAACUGCAGUCGAUACUAUUGUGACUAGAGCCCGGUAGAGGAGAAUGGAAUUCCCGGUGUAGCGGUGAAAUGCGCAGAUAUCGGGAGGAACACCAGUAGCGAAGGCGGUUCUCUGGGCCGGUACUGACGCUGAGGAGCGAAAGCGUGGGGAGCAAACAGG
rnacentral:rRNA from 1 species